CUUCGGAGCACCCAAGACAGGUGGUGCAUGGUAGUCGUCAGCUGGUGUCGUGAGAUGUUGGGUUAAGUCCCGCAACGAGCGCAACCCUUGAUGUUAGUUGCCAGCACUUGGGGUGAGGCACUCUAAGAUGACUGCCUGGUGACAAACCGGAGGAAGGUGGGGAUGACGUCAAAUCAUCAUGCCCCUUAUGACGUGGGCUACACACGUACUACAAUGGUCGGUACAACGGGAAGCGAAGCCGCGAGGUGGAGCCAAUCUUUAUAAGCCGAUAUCAGUUCGGAUUGCAGGCUGCAACUCGCUUGCAUGAAGUCGGAAUUUCUGGUAAUCGCGGAUCAGCAUGCCGCGGUGAAUACGUUCCCGGGUCUUGUACACACCGCCCGUCACACCACGAGAGUUUACAACACCCAGAAGUCGGUGGUGUAACCCGGCAAGGGAGCCAGCCGCCGAAGGUGGGGUAGAUGAUUGGGGUGAAGUCGUAACAAGGUAACCGUA
rnacentral:rRNA from 1 species